rnacentral:rRNA from 1 species
AUUGAACGCUGGCGGCAUGCCUUACACAUGCAAGUCGAACGGUAACGGGCCUUCGGGUGCCGACGAGUGGCGAACGGGUGAGUAAUACAUCGGAACGUGCCCGAUCGUGGGGGAUAACGAGGCGAAAGCUUUGCUAAUACCGCAUACGAUCUACGGAUGAAAGCAGGGGACCGCAAGGCCUUGCGCGGACGGAGCGGCCGGUGGCAGAUUAGGUAGUUGGUGGGAUAAAAGCUUACCAAGCCGACGAUCUGUAUCUGGUCUGAGAGGAUGAUCAGCCACACUGGGACUGAGACACGGCCCAGACUCCUACGGGAGGCAGCAGUGGGGAAUUUUGGACAAGGGGCGCAAGCCUGAUCCAGCCAUGCCGCGUGCAGGAUGAAGGCCUUCGGGUUGUAAACUGCUUUUGUACGGAACGAAAAGCCUUCUUUUAAUACAGGAGGGUCAUGACGGUACCGUAAGAAUAAGCACCGGCUAACUACGU